CAGCAGCCGCGGUAAGACAGAGGAUGCAAGCGUUAUCCGGAAUGAUUGGGCGUAAAGCGUCUGUAGGUGGCUUUUCAAGUCCGCCGUCAAAUCCCAGGGCUCAACCCUGGACAGGCGGUGGAAACUACCAAGCUGGGGUACGGUAGGGGCAGAGGGAAUUUCCGGUGGAGCGGUGAAAUGUGUUGAGAUCGGAAAGAACACCAACGGCGAAAGCACUCUGCUGGGCCGACACUGACACUGAGAGACGAAAGCUAGGGGAGCAAAUGGGAUUAGAUACCCGGGUAGUCCCUGUCUCUUAUAC
rnacentral:rRNA from 1 species